rnacentral:rRNA from 1 species
GGAGGAAAAGAAACUAACAAGGAUUCCCCUAGUAACGGCGAGUGAAGCGGGAAGAGCUCAAAUUUGUAAUCUGGCACUUUCAGUGUCCGAGUUGUAAUCUCGAGAAGUGUUUUCCGCGCCGGACCGCAUACAAGUCUGUUGGAAUACAGCGUCAUAGUGGUGAGAACCCCGUAACUGAUGCGGAUGCCCGGUGCUUUGUGAUACACUUUCGAAGAGUCGAGUUGUUUGGGAAUGCAGCUCAAAUUGGGUGGUAAAUUCCAUCUAAAGCUAAAUAUUGGCGAGAGACCGAUAGCGAACAAGUACCGUGAGGGAAAGAUGAAAAGCACUUUGGAAAGAGAGUUAACAGUACGUGAAAUUGUUGGAAGGGAAACGAUUGAAGUCAGACUUGUUAUCUGGAGUUCAGCCUUUCGGUGUACUCUCCAGUUUACAGGCCAGCAUCAGUUUUCGGGGCGGGAAAAUCGUAAUUAGAAGGUAGCAGCCUAGCUGUGUUAUAGCUUUUUACUGGAUUCCGCUUUGGGGACUGAGGAACCGCAGUGUGCUUUUAGCAAUACCCUCGGGU